ensembl:snoRNA
GUACUGUGUUCGUGCCAGAGUGAACUGUAACCCCGAACCAUUCCCUGGCUCUAUCCCAUGGGCGUUGGGCACUGAAGUGAGUUGCACAGUG